CGGGCGUGCUCAUCGAUCACGAAGGCGAAAAUGACCUCAUGGGUCCCCAGCAGGGGGAUGAGCGUCAAUGUGGACUUGGCAAGUCUGGGGGAAGGAGAGGCUGAGGGUUCCCAGCGCAGAAGCUCAGUCAAAACACCUGCACUUGAUGUCCGUCUUGCACAUGAGAUUCGCUUUCAGUUUGGACACCACGAUGCAGAUAACCCGGAUGAAGAUGAGGAAGUUCACCUGCAGGUCACAUGGAUAAGUGGCUUAUGCCUACUCUUCCAUAGUCCUUCCCCCAGCACCCUUCAUAAUUGUCACUUACCCCAAUGGCAAAGAGAAUGGGCAGCCGGAUAAUCA